rnacentral:rRNA from 1 species
GUAGGUGGCAAGCGUUGUCCGGAAUUAUUGGGCGUAAAGCGCGCGCAGGCGGGGUCCUUUAAGUCUGAUGUGAAAGCCCACGGGCUCAACCGUGGAGGGUCAUUGGAAACUGGGGGACUUGAGUACAGAAGAGGAGAGCGGAAUUCCAAGUGUAGCGGUGAAAUGCGUAGAGAUUUGGAGGAACACCAGUGGCGAAGGCGGCUUUCUGGUCUGUAACUGACGCUGAGGCGCGAAAGCGUGGGGAGCAAACAGGAUUAGAUACCCUGGUAGUCCACGCCGUAAACGAUGAGUGCUAAGUGUUAGGGGGUUUCCGCCCCUUAGUGCUGCAGCUAACGCAUUAAGCACUCCGCCUGGGGAGUACGGCCGCAAGGCUG